CACAUAACUAGUUUUAACUUGGGUUCUCCAAAAUAGAGCCCAAGAUAAGGACUUGGGUGCAGUAGUUUAUUUGGAGGGCAAUUCCAGGAAGCAGGGGAGGGAGUGAAGUCACUGCUGUAGGCUGCAGGGGCUUGGUUCCACCCAGCAGCAUAGAGAAGGCUGGAGAAUGCCUCCCAGGACCGUCCUCCAGUCCAGGCUCCAGGAGCUGAAGCAUCUACGUGUGGACUUGAUGAACAUACACAAGGAUCUAGGUCUUUAGGUUUUGAGGAACCACACUCAAGGAGCUCUACUCUAGGAGUCCUGAGGCAUCUCCACACCAAGACCUGAUUUAGUUAACAAGAUCCUGAACUCAAGCUCAUGGGGCAUCUUUGCCCCAUGAUUUCGGGGCAUCUUUGGAAAGCUCCUCACCAUCUCUGCUCUUUAUGCAAUGCCCUCUCCCUGCGAGGACUGGAUCAGCCAUUCCCCUCUGAACGUUUUCACGUGUCCGCUCCCACGCACGGAGAGGUGAGUGUCAGCCCCCCACCCCAUACUGCUCCUAAUGGUGAAAUUUCAGCUACUUGAACUGCUGCCAGAGAGAGAUGUUUGCACA
rnacentral:lncRNA from 1 species